rnacentral:rRNA from 1 species
AGAGUUUGAUCAUGGCUCAGAGUGAACGCUGGCGGUGCGCCUAAAACAUGCAAGUCGAGUGGGUUUAGACCCACGGCAGACGGCUGCGUAACACAUGGGUACCUACCCCGAACUCAGGAAUAUCCCGCCGAAAGGCGGAGUAAUGCCGGAUAGUCCCGCAAGGGUAAAGCUUUCGCGGUUCGGGAGGGGCCUGUGCCCUAUCAGUUAGUUGGUGAGGUAACGGCUCACCAAGACAAUGACGGGUAGCUGGUUUGAGAGAACGACCAGCCAGAAUGGAACUGAGAUACGGUCCAUACUCCUACGGGAGGCAGCAGUUAGGAAUCUUCCGCAAUGGGCGCAAGCCUGACGGAGCGACACCGCGUGAAGGAUGAAGCCCUUUCUGGGUGUAAACUUCUGUUGUGAGGGACGAAAUUUUUGACGGUACCUCACGAGAAAGCACCGGCUAAUUCUGUGCCAGCAGCCGCGGUAAGACAGUAGGUGCAAGCGUUACUCGGAAUUACUGGGCGUAAAGCGUCUGUAGGUGUCUUGCCACGUCCGGCCAUAAAUUGCGAAGCUCAACUCCGCAUCCUGGCUGGAAACGAGCGAGAUCGAGUCAUUCAGAGGCAUCUGGAAUGUCGUGUGUAGGGGUAAAAUCCGUAGAUACACGAUGGAACGCCGAAAGCGAAAGCAGGAUGCUGGGAAUGUACUGACACUCAGAGACGAAAGCGUGGGGAGCAAAGGGGAUUAGAUACCCCCGUAGUCCACGCCCUAAACGAUGCGGGCUCGGUGUGGGACCGUUCAAUCUGGUCCCGUGCCUUAGCUUACGCGGUAAGCCCGCCGCCUGAGAAGUACGGCCGCAAGGCUAAAACUCAAAUGAAUUGACGG